GAUGAACGCUGGCGGCGUGCCUAAUACAUGCAAGUCGAGCGAACAGACGAGGAGCUUGCUCCUCUGACGUUAGCGGCGGACGGGUGAGUAACACGUGGAUAACCUACCUAUAAGACUGGUAUAACUUCGGGAAACCGGAGCUAAUACCGGAUAAUAUAUUGAACCGCAUGGGUCAAUAGUGAAAGACGGUUUUGCUGUCACUUCUAGAUGGAUCCGCGCCGCAUUAGCUAGUUGGUAAGGUAACGGCUUACCAAGGCAACGAUGCGUAGCCGACCUGAGAGGGUGAUCGGCCACACUGGAACUGAGACACGGUCCAGACUCCUACGGGAGGCAGCAGUAGGGAAUCUUCCGCAAUGGGCGAGAGCCUGACGGAGCAACGCCGCGUGAGUGAUGAAGGUCUUCGGAUCGUAAAACUCUGUUAUUAGGGAAGAACAAAUGUGUAAGUAACUAUGCACGUCUUGACGGUACCUAAUCAGAAAGCCACGGCUAACUACGUG
rnacentral:rRNA from 1 species